UUUUUUUUCUUCCCCUUCUCUCUCUCCUAUCGAUCACUACAGAUCGAAAGAUUCUCCGGCGACAAAAAGUAGAUCUCCGACGACUCCCGCCAAAAGGUUACUUCGACAGAGUUCGCUUCUCCGUCAAUUUCAGCGGCGACAGCUCUCGUUCUCUCUCAACAAGUGAGUGCAAAUGUUCACGAGCUGGAAUUUAUCUAUUGGAGGAAGUCAAAGCUUGAUCUUGAAACCUAUUCUUUGUGGAAGCGUAGUUAAUUCUAAAAUAGGUGCAAAGAGGACGUUCUAGGGGUUUAGUUGAUAUGGACAGUGUCAUGGUGGAGGAUAGUAGUGAUGUUGGGCACAAGGUCCAACGUAUGAGUGAUGUUGUGGUUGAGGAAAGAACUGAUGGUGAACACAAGGCACAAGCUGGGGAAGAGGUGUUGGAUGAAACAAUGAAUGAUGCUUUUGUCGAGGAAAGAACUGAUGGUGAUCACGAUGCUCAAGCUAGGGAAGGAGUGCUGGAUGAAACAAUGAAAGAUGUUGUUCUUGAGGAAAGAGCUGAUGACGAACAUGAUGCACAAGGCAAGGAAGAGGUGUUGGAUGAAACGAUGAAUGAUGUUGUUAUCGAGGAAAGAACUGAUGGCAAACACAACGCAGAAGUCAGGGAUGAAGAAGUGGUGAAUAAGGCAACGAGUACUGCCACUGUUGAUGAGAGUACUGAUGGCGAGCACAUGGCACGUGUCGUGGAACAAGAAACAUUAAAUGAGGGAGUGGGCAAUGCCAUUGUUGAGGAAAAUACUGAUGGCGAGCAGGAGAAAGUGUGUGGACAAGAAGCUUUGAAAGAGACAGUGGGUAAUGCUGUUGUAGAGGAGAGUACUGAUGCUGAACACCAGCGGCAAGUCAGGGAAGAAGAUAAAACAGUGGGUAAUGCCACCGUUGAGGAAAGUUCCAAUUGUGAGCAGAAGCUGAAUGCCAGGGAACAAGAGGUGUUGAAUGAGAAAGUGGGUAACACCAUUGUCGAGGAGAAUGCUCACGGCGAGCAGAAAGAGCAAGUGGGGAAACAAGAAGCUUUAAACAAGACAGUGGGUAAUGUCAAUGUUGGGGACAGUACCGAUGGCGAAAACAAGGAAGAAAUCCAGGAGGAAGAAGCUCUGAAUGAAACAAUAGGUAAUGCCAUUGUGCAGGAAAGUCCUGGUGAUGAGCAGAUGAUGCAUGUUGCGGAACAAGAAGUAUUGAAUGAGGCACUUGGCAAUGCCAUUGUUGAGGGAAAUACUGAUGGUGAACAGAAGGAGCAAGUUGGGGAACAAGAAGUACUGAAUGUGGCAGUGGGUAGUGACAUUGUUGACGAAAUUAUUGAUGGCAAGCAGAAGAUGGAAGAUGCGGAACAAGAAGUAUUGAAUGAGGCACUUGGCAAUGCCAUUGUUGAGGGAAAUACUGAUGGUGAACAGAAGGAGCAAGUUGGGGAACAAGAAGUACUGAUUGUGGCAGUGGGUAGUGACAUUGUUGACGAAAUUAUUGAUGGCAAGGAGAAGAUGGAAGAUGCGGAACGAGAAGCAUUGAGUGAGACAGUAGGUAAUGUCUUUGUUGAGGAAGGUACUUGUGUUCAAGUCAGGGAAGAAGAAGCACUGAAUAAAACAGUGGGUAAUGCCACUGAGGAAAGUACCGUUUGCGAGCAGAACCUGCAAUCAGGGGAACGCGAGGCAUUGAAUGAGACAGUGGGUAAUACCACUGUCAAGGUAAAUAAUGAUGGCGAGCAGAAGGUGCAUAUGGAGGAUCAACAAGCAUUUAAUGAAAUAGUAACUGAUGUCAAACAGAAGGCACAAGAUGGGGAAGAAAUGGUGAAUGAAACAAUAGGUAAUGUCAGUGUUGACGAAAGUUAUGAUGGCAAACAGAAGGUCCAAGCUGGGGAAGAAGAAGCGGUGAUUGAAACUAUGGAUAUUGAUGAGGAACAUACUGAUGGCCAGAAGAAGGGACAAGUUGGAGGAGAGGUGUUAUCAAUUGAGGACGAACACAAGGCACCGACCUUGGAAGAGGAAAAGUUGAUUGAAACAAUUGGUGAUGUUACUUUUGAGAAAAGUCCUGUUGGUGAAUACAUUGAACAAGUCGGGAAGGACGAAGCAGAAAGUCAAACAAAGGGUGAUGCAACUGUCAUGGAAAGUACUGAUGGCGAACACAAGGCAGAAUUUCAGCGAGAAGAAAACAAAACAAAGAAGCAAAAGAAACGAUCUAUGGCCUCCGGGACUAGGAUUGUUCCUCUGAUGGGAAAUAACGAACAUGUGAGCUACCUCUUGCCUUUGCUGGAAAAAGCUAAUUUCUCCUCCUGUGAUUUGGUCUGGGGUAAAGUAAAGAGUCAUCCUUGGUGGCCGGGCCAGAUAAUUGAUCCUUCAGAUGCAACAAAGUUGGCUAUGAAGUACCAGAAAAAGGACAGCUUUCUUAUAGCAUAUUUUGGGGACAAAACUUUUGCUUGGUGUGAUGAGUCCCAAUUGAAGCCCUUCCAUCCAUACUUCUCACAAUUGGUAAAGCAGUGCAGUUCAGAUUCUUUUGCAAGAGCUACUCAUGAUAUUCUGCUGGAAGUCUCUAGGCGUGUAGAAUUGGGAAUGGCAUGUUCUUGUCUGCCUGAAGAAGAUUACACUGGUAUUAAGUGCCAAAAAAUUGAGAAUGCUGCCAUUAAAGGAGGAAAUAUUAACCCACUUAUUGACAGGUCUACAGUUGCAAAUUAUUUUCAACCUGACAAACUGCUGGAGUAUAUUACAACAUUAGCUCAGUUCCCAAAUGGAAUAGUUGAUAAACUAGAAUUUGUUAUGGCUCAGUCUCAGCUAAAGGCUUUCUACCAUUUAAAGGGUUAUCCUGAACUUCCUGCAUUUGUUUUCAGUGGAGGUGUGAUGGAGACUAUUUCUGAAGACUCACCCUCUAGUGGUAAAGAGGCUAUGGAAAAUGUCAUUGAGUUUUGUACUCCAGUUCCAUCAGAUUUAAUUUAUGCAAAAGGGAGAUCAAGAAGCGGAGAAGACUCAUUUGAUAAACAAGAACAUGGCUCCAAGGAUGGUGUAAAACUGAGAAGCACAUUUAGACUGCCAGAAGAUGGAACCUCUGUUCAUCUUGCAAAUGGUAGAAAGAGUGCCUCUGUAGCAAAAGCUGCUGAAAAGCCAAUUUCCAGUUCUUCUGGUAAGAAGCAUACUAUUAUUGAGACAGAUCUUGUUGAUUCAAGGAGAUGUAAGAAAAGAAUGAUAGAUUCUUUUGAUGAUAUAGAUUUCAAGUCACCAGCUCCUGCUGUUUCCAGCUCUUUUAAGAUUGGGGAAUUCAUUCGCCGAGCUGCAAGCCAACUGACAGGAGCACAACCUAUCCUUAAGAGCCAAGGGCCAACACUUCAGAAGUGUGACUUCCAGGCUGAGCAAAAAAAAGAUGACAUUGCUGAUUUUGAUGUUCUCUCUGAUAGUCCCGUGGAAAACCAGAGUACUGAUGUAAGCUUCACAGAGGAUUUUAACUCCACAAGCGAGAUGCUUUCUCUGCUUUGUUUAGCUGCAAGUGACACCAUGGAAGAAUACGAUUUUGUGCCUGCAAUAGUUGAUUUCUUCACUGGUUUCAGGAAUUUCUGCAUUUCUAGUUCUUCUGAGGACAAGGGGCAAGUUGUGAAGCGUAAAAGAGGGAGGCCAAAAAAAGUAAUUUCUCAUCAAGCUACAUCCGAUAUCAGUUCUUCUGAGGAUGAGAAACAUGUUGAGAAGCAUAGAAGGGGCAUGCUAAAUAAUGUCACCCCUCAGCCUGCCACUUCUGAUAUUAGUUCUGAAGAGGAAAAGCCUGUUGAGAAGCCUGUUGUUGAGAAGCGUAAGAGGGGCAGGCCAAGAAAAAAUCCUCUGCCAGAACCUUCUGCCUGUUAUGAGGACAGGCCAAGAAAAACCCCCCAGUCAGCUCCUCCUGCCUCUUAUCAGGACAAUGAACCUGUUCAGAAACGUAAAAGGGGAAGGCCCAGAAAAAUAGAUUCUCAGCUGGCUUGCCCUACCGAGACACGUAAAAGGGGUAGGCCAAGAAAAAUAAACGCUGAGAUGGUCCCUUAUGAGAUGUCUGGACCGGAUUAUAUGAAAGAUUCGUGCUGGUCUGAUAUGGACCUUCAACAGAAAAAAGAUAAGAAAACUUAUAUACAGUACCAGAAGAGGAGGAAGUCAACUGGAGAACAAUCAUUGUCUCUUCCUUCAUCCUCCAUGUCCCACUUUGAACAACGGUUGCAACUUUUGGCCAUGAGUCCCAAGCAUACAUUUGUAGCAGAAAGACCAAUCAUCACUGUAGAAGAAAAAAUCGUGGAUGAGUGCAUGCCGACUGCACUGGUUUUAAGUUUUAACAAUGCACAUUCUCUUCCCUCUGAAACAGAUCUCAUUAGAACUUUUAGCCGGUAUGGACGUCUAAAAGCAGCAGUAACAGAAAUUGAGAAGAAAACUAACCGCGCUAAAGUAGUCUUCAAGAGGCGCGUUGAUGCAGAAGCUGCGUUCAGUAGUGCAUCGAAAUUUUUUGGCUCUAGGCUUCUUAGUUACCAGCUCAAGCCAUGGACUUCCGGGUCCGCUCUUCAGGCUAACUCCCAAGGCACUCAGGAAGAAGCACCUGAUGCGACAAUGCGAGAUGCCCAAGGUGCAGCAUCCAUCACUGUGCCACGAGAAGAUCUUGAUGCAGCGUUAAUUGCAAUGUCACAGGAUGAUAAGCAUGAGCAUGACUUGGCACAAACCAUUACAGUUCAAGAGGAUCAUGACUUAGCACCCAUCUCCAUGGUGCAAGACAAUCAUGAUGUAGUAGCAGGCAGCGGUACACUGGAAGACAAAUGUGAUGCAGGAUUCACUAUAGGAAGUAACUUGGAUCUUUCAGAUAAACAUGAUUUAACACCCACUGAUACACAAGACGAUAUGGAAGCAGCACCCUCUACCAUGGUGGAAGACAAUCAUGGUGCAGCAGCGAUCACCAUUCUGCAAGACAUAUGUGAUGCAGGACCGGCUGUAGGAAGUAACUUGGAAUGUUCAGAUCCAGCAGAGCACGUGAUAGUUACAGUGCAGGCUGAAGCUCAGGGUAAGGAGUCAUCACCAAGUGACAAACAUGACCCAUCACUGAUCAUCAUGCAACAAGAAAAUCAGGAUGCUAUACCUGUUUCCUUAACGCUAGAUGGACACAGUUUAGUACCGACCAGCGCACAAAAUGAUCAAGAUGCAGCACCGAUUAGCAUGGGGCAAGACAAUCAUGAUGUGGCAGCUAUCCUCACACUAGAAGACAAUUGCAGUAUCUCGCUCACUGAAGGUGUCAACUUAGAGCUUUCAGAGCAAGCAGAGACUGUAAUAUUGUCCGGCACUAUACAAGUUGAAGCUGAUGUUGAGGAGUCAUUACCAGAAGACGCAACACGGAUCACUACACCACAACAAAAUCAGGAUGAAAACCCGGUUCCCUCACUUGUAGGUAAAGAUGAUUCAACACCCACCACAACACAAGACAAUCUUGAUAAAAUGCCAAUUAGCUUGCCGGAAGAUAGUAGUGAUGAAGCACCCAUAACCACCCCACAAGAUAAUCAUGAUACAGCACCAAUUGCUAUACCACAAGAUAAUCAAGACGCAGACACCAUUGUCUCACUGCCAGAAGAUACUCGGGUCACAGGACCUCUUGGCUCACUACCACAAGAAAACAAUAUUGCAGCAUCCACCACUAUAGAUAAUCAUGAUGCAGUAUCCACUGCCAUAUCUCCAGGCCAUCAUGAUGCUGCACCUAUAGCCUCAUCUAUAGCCACAGCACAGGGCUGUGAUGCUUUACCAUCCUCUGCAAUGGUAGAAGAGAAUCAUGAUGCAGCACCAGCCAUCAUAGUACGAGGCAAUGGAGGACCAACUUUAGAAAGUAAUUUAGAGUUCUCAGAACAAGUAGAGGAUGUGGUAACAUCAGAUAAUAUGCAAGUUGAACCUGAGGUUAAUGAGUCGUUACCACAAGACGAGCACUUUCCUGCAUUGACCUCUACACCGCAGCAAAAUCAAGAUGCAGAACCUGUUGCCUUACUGCAAGAUAGGCUUGAAACAGGCACCACUUCACAAGACAAUCUUGAUGCAGCACUCACUGAAGGUGGUAACUUAGAGCUUUCAGAGGCUGCGGUAACACAAGAUGCUGAAGGAGUUGAAGCUGAAGGUGGCGAGUCAUUACCCCAAGAUAAUAAUGAUCCAGCACUAAUUGCUGCACCACAGAAAAAUAAGGCUUCAGAACUAAAUAAAGAUGGUUCAAUUCCUAUUACAGCAGAAAAUCUUGAUGGAACACCCAACAACAUGCCACAAGAUAAGCAUGAUGCAGCACCCUUAUUCACUCCACAAGAUAUUCAUGAUGCAGCACCCUUAAGCACACCACAAGAUAAUCAGGAUAUAGAGCCCAUUGCCUCGCUGCCCUCAGAUAAUCAAGUAGAACUCGAUCAUGAUGCACCAGUUAUUGUCACACCACAGGACAAGUGUGAUGAACCCACUGCAGUUAGCAACUUCUCAGAGGUAUCAAACGAUGUGAUAGGUUCUGAUGCUGAACAGGUUGAAGCUGAGGAUAAGCAAAUCAAGCGUGAUUCAGUGCUUGUCACUACACAACAAAAUCAGGAUGCAGAACUUGCUGCCACACUGCUAGAUAAACAUGAUUCGACUUCCACCACAAUGGUGCAAGACAAGCAUGAUGCAGCAAUCAUUGAAGGUGGUAACUUAGAGGUUUCAGAACAAGCAAAAUCUGAAAUGAAUUCGGAACCUCUGCAAGUUGAAGGUGGUAAAUCAAUGGUUUUAGAUCAAGCGGAGACGGUAAUGGCUUCUGAUGGAACAAAUCUAUGCUGAAGGAAAAGUCGAAAAGAGACUUCUGAUUUGAGUUGAUCAGUUGUUGCGUGUCAAUGUUGCAGAAAGAAGCUUUUCCACUGUGAGCUUGCAAUCUUUUUUACAAAUCAUAUGAGGGGAUGUGCAGAAGCUCUAAUUCAGACCUAAAAAAUGUACUUGCAGGUGAAGAUCUAGGAAAUUACCCAUGUUUGAAGACAGCUCUAGACCUAUAAGGUCUUUAUGUCCAUUCCACACCACGUGUAACAAAAGAGUCUGAGAUAUACAAUCCAGCUUACAGUUUCAGUCUACGGAGGCCUGACAACAUUUGUCAACUCCCUCAUUAAGAAAGAAGCAACUUAUUUUGUAGCAUAAGAACUUUCAGGAGAUUAGUAUGACAGGCUUUAUGUAAAUUCUUGAGCGAGACGGGCGAAGCGCUGCUGCAGGUUUUAGAACAAGAAAGGAUGUUGUGUAUGUAAUGUAGUGUUCCCAUAGGAGGUUUGGGUGUAUAGAUGCCGGCUUACUCCUGUGAGGUUCAGGGAUUGGCAUGGUACACGACUAGUGAUGAUAUAGCAAGUAGAAUAGGUUUAUCUAUGUAUUUUUAGUGUGUCAGCUCUAUUUACUUCCAACGAUUUGUAGACGGUUGCAUUCUGACUAAGGCACUAGCUCAACGGUGUUGAGGAAUUAUUGUCUGUAUGCUACAUCUGUUUGAUUGGCUUUUAACUUAUGUGAUGCAUGUGCUCAGUAUUAUGCUUUUCA